rnacentral:rRNA from 1 species
UAUACAGCUAACGCGUUAAACCAUCCGCCUGGGGACUACGGUCGCAAGAUUAAAACUCAAAGGAAUUGACGGGGACCCGCACAAGCGGUGGAGCAUGUGGUUUAAUUCGAUGCAACGCGAAAAACCUUACCACUCCUUGACAUGGAAAUUAUACCUAUUCGAAGGGAUAGGGUCGGUUCGGCCGGGUUUCACACAGGUGUUGCAUGGCUGUCGUCAGCUCGUGUCGUGAGAUGUUGGGUUAAGUCCCGCAACGAGCGCAACCCUCAUCCUUAGUUACCAUCAGGUAAUGCUGGGGACUUUAAGGAGACUGCCAGUGAUAAACUGGAGGAAGGUGGGGAUGAUGUCAAGUCAUCAUGGCCCUUAUGGAGUGGGCUACACACGUGCUACAAUGGUGGCUACAAUGGGCUGCAAAGUCGCGAGGCUAAGCCAAUCCCUUAAAAGCCAUCUCAGUUCGGAUUGUACUCUGCAACUCGAGUGCAUGAAGUUGGAAUCGCUAGUAAUCGUGGAUCAGCACGCCACGGUGAAUACGUUCUCGGGUCUUGUACACACUGCCCGUCACGCCAUGGGAAUUGGUUUCACUCGAAGCUAACGACCUAACCGCAAGGAGGGAGUUAUUUAAAGUGGGAUCGGUGACUGGGGUG